UAAGAGGACUACAACAGUUUGCUGCAACAGUUCUUCUCCAUGCUGGAUGGUUAUUCUUCAGACCUGAAAAUGGUGUUUGACAAGGAAGGCGGCAUUGAAGGACAAAAGAUUAAGAGCAUCAUGGUUCCCAUAACCCAGACUAACUUCAUUGAUGUCAGAAGAGUACAUCCUUUAAGCCCAGUGUGUGUUCCUCAAUGAAGAUCCUGGCAACCUUGUGAAAGAAUGGAUGAUCGUGGACGCCUUGAAGAAGCCAUGAUAGAGACAAUGCUUGAAGUUUUUGUCAUUCACAAAGAUGCAGAGGCAGAUGAUGACCCUGAAGAUGUAGUCCUCGUUUCAAGUCCUGGAUGAGUUGGGUAGUGUCCCACUUGCUGUGUUGUUGUUUUCUCUUGUAUAUGCUCUCAACGUCAGCUACCCUCCACUAAAAGUUGUUUGAAAUAUUGGCCCAAUGCUGUAUGUACAAUACUGGAUGUUAGCGACAUUUUAUAGCUGCCUUUGAGAUUUGAAAGCUGUUUUAUCGUUUUUAUGAAGCUUAUAAACUAUUCUAACCAGUCUAAAUCCAAUGUGCUUUGUGUCUUCUCCAACCUACACACCAGCUGGGGAUAUAUGUUAGUUUGCAUAAUAGAAAUACUGUUUCAAAGAUAACUUUAUUUGUAUGUAACUUUGAAAAGCUAAUCUUGGCACAAAACAUUUGAUAACUUUA